rnacentral:rRNA from 1 species
UACAGAGGUCUCAAGCGUUGUUCGGAUUCAUUGGGCGUAAAGGGUGCGUAGGUGGCGCGCUAAGUCGGGUGUGAAAUUUCGGAGCUUAACUCCGAAACUGCAUUCGAUACUGGUGUGCUUGAGGACUGGAGAGGAGACUGGAAUUCAUGGUGUAGCAGUGAAAUGCGCAGAUAUCAGGAGGAACACCGGUGGCGAAGGCGGGUCUCUGGGCCGAUAUUGACGCUGAGGAGCGAAAGCGUGGGGAGCAAACAGG